rnacentral:rRNA from 1 species
AGCAGCCGCCGCGGUAAUACGGAGGGUGCAAGCGUUAAUCGGAAUUACUGGGCGUAAAGCGCACGCAGGCGGUCUGUCAAGUCGGAUGUGAAAUCCCCGGGCUCAACCUGGGAACUGCAUUCGAAACUGGCAGGCUAGAGUCUUGUAGAGGGGGGUAGAAUUCCAGGUGUAGCGGUGAAAUGCGUAGAGAUCUGGAGGAAUACCGGUGGCGAAGGCGGCCCCCUGGACAAAGACUGACGCUCAGGUGCGAAAGCGUGGGGAGCAAACAGGAUUAGAUACCCCAGUAGUCCCUGUCUCUUAUAC